UUAUAUGGGCAUACCGGCCACCGCGAGCUAUAAAAUCUGCAUGACUGUUAUUAUUUCGCAAAUUGUUUUUAGGUACCGGCGCAUACACUUAUAAUUUUAUAAGCGCGAGUCAGAAUGCGUAUAUCAUAUGAUUUGGCCCGAUUGCGCUUUUCAGUGUGUAUAUCAUUGUUUUUAAACGCACGACGGUGAUUAUAGACAACAUUAUUAUUCGUGAUCUAUUAUGAUAAUUUAUGCAUUUUUAAACGGUAUAAUCAAUCGCACGGACACUAUAAUAAUAUGUUAAUGUACGAUUAAAAUGUAUCGGAACAAUAAAUAAUAACAUAAUAGUAUACGUAUUUUGCGAAGUAAUCAGAUUACAGAUAUUGUAGCUGCCCCGUCCCUAGAAGCCAUGUACCAUUGUGCUAACAGAGCAGUUCUCGUUAAAAUAAAUGUAUGAAAUCGAGAAAAACUAUUGAACACAUGAUUAAAAUUAAAUUACUAAAACCGAAAUAUUGGAGAGACAAAGAUAGAAAGACGAAAAAAUGUUCAUAUAUAGUAAUAAUAUAACAACAAUAACAACGGUAUAUUGUAUCGAC